CAUCGAGGCAUGUGAGUGGCUGAGAAAUGGAGUUGGGACUCAGGGGAGCAAUGGAGCAAUGGGUCACAACCUUCCUGAGCGGCCCUUGCAAGCUCCUGCUCCCCUCGCCUGCAAGUGGAGCAAUGCUCAAGCUUGAGGAAUCUUUUCCUUGGCAGGUGGAAGACAUGGCACAGCUGCAGGUUUUGUGUCCUUCGUUGUCAUUGGAAAGCAGCCUCCUUGAGAGUAGGAGAGCAGCAGGCUGCCUGCUGUGUGGCUGCUGAAGGGCAUUUCUCCCAGCUGAGAUCCCCGAGCCCACGCUGGCGGAGAACGUGCUGUGCCACCAUCUCUUCUGUGGAGCCACUUGGCAGCUGCUCUGCGUGAGCUGCAGUCGUGCCAGUUUCCAGGUGCCAUAAGCCAGACUGGCACAGUCUUGGGACUCGGUCUGGCGAGACAGUGAAGAAAGCCAAGGCAAGUGCUGCUCGGCUGCAGAAGAAAGCCCAGAAGGAGAGCAAAAAGAACUGAGAAGGGCUUGAGCGAGAAGGCCCACAGGACGCUCGAAUCAGCUGGAAUGCUUCCUCGGAGGUGGCACCAAAGGCAGCGGACUGAGUCACCUGGUUUUCUGGCAUGGCCGUGCUUUCCCUGUCACGGACAGUGCAGCGGAACUGAGGCACCUGGAAGGGAAGGGCUUGUGCUGCAUUCCAAGCAAAGAGGGCUUGCCAGAGGCAGGUCUUCAUCUAUGGCAAGAGAUGGAGAGGCUGUGUUCCUUCUGGCUGCGUCUCUUCAGGGCCAGGGCCGGUCUAGUAUGAGAUUGAAGUACGGCUAGCUGGGCCUGGAGGGAGAGGACCUGACGUGGCCACAGGGUCAGGCUUCUCCUCGUGUCUGCCUGGAGGCUGAAUUACUCAUUGCUAAGCAGAAACCCUGAACGCUGGGGUUUCAUUCUGGGCUGUGUUGAUAAAUACAACCCAGAGCCUUUUGUAUUGAAUAAAAGCGAAACCAACUUUUUAAA